UGAGUAGUUUACUUCAGACCUACGGGUCCAUAGUUAGUAGCUAGAUGGCUUCUUCUCUCUUUUUGGACCUCAAUACAAUGUUCUCCCCCUCUCUCGUGGAGAUCUAUUCGAUGUAAUCUUCUUUUUGCGGUGUGUUUGUUGAGACCGAUGAAUUGUGGGUUUAUGAUCCAGUCUAUCUAUGAAUAAUAUUUGAAUCUUCUCUGAAUUAUUUUAUGUAUGAUUGGUUAUAUUUGCAAGUCUAUUUGAAUUAUCAGUUUGGUUUGGCCUACUAGCUUGGUUUUUUCUUGCCAUGGGAGAAGUGCUUAGCUUUGGGUUCGAUCUUGCGGUGUCCUUUCCCAGUGACAGAAGGGGCAGCAAGGCACAUAUUGUAUUGUUGCCAUCGAGGAUAACAAGAUGGGGUUUUAUCAUAUUGCAUGAAACUAUCCCUCUACAUCAUGUCAUCUUGCUUAAGGCGUUACUCUGUUUUUAACUUAAUACUCUAGAUGCAUGCUGGAUAGCGGUCGAUGAGUGGAGUAAUAGUAGUAGAUGCAGGCAGGAGUCGGUCUACUUGUCUCGGACGUGAUGCCUAUAUACAUGAUCAUACCUAGAUAUUCUCAUAACUAUGCUCAAUUCUGUCAAUUGCUCAACAGUAAUUUGUUCACCCACCGUAGAAUACUUAUGCUCUUGAGAGAAGCCACUAGUGAAACCUAUGGCCCCUGGGUCUCUUUCUCAUCAUAUCAAUCUCCAUCACUUUAUAAUUGCUUUGAUUUUUACUUUGCCUUUUACUUUUCACUCAUCUCUAUACCAAAAAUACCAAAAAUAUUAUUUAUCAUGUCUAUCAGAUCUCACUUUCGUAAGUGACCAUGAAGGGAUUGACAACCCCUAAGCACGUUGGUUGCGUUGAGCUAUUGUUUUUGUGUAGGUAUGAGGGACUCGCGCGUAGCCUCCUACUGGAUUGAUACCUUGGUUCUCAAAAACUAAGGGAAAUACUUACGCUACUUUGCUGCAUCAUCCUCUCCUCUUUCGGGAAAUCCAACGCAGUGCUGAAGAGGUAGCAAGAAGAAUUUCUGGCGCCGUUGCCGGGGAGUCUGCGCAAAAGUCAACAUACCAAGUACCCAUCACAAUCCAUAUCUCCAGCAUUACAUUAUUUUCCAUUUGCCUCUUGUUUUCCUCUCCCCCACUUCACCCUUGCCGUUUUAUUCGCCCUCUCUCUCUCUCUCUCUCUCUCUCUCUCUCUAUCCUCCCUCUCUAUUUGCCUCUUUUGCCCGUUUGCUUUUUUGUUUGCUAGUGUGUUGGAUUGCUUGUUUGUCGUGAUGGCUCAAGAUAAUACCAAAUUGUGUGACUUCACCAAUACCAACAAUAAUGAUUUCCUUAGCACUCCGAUUGCUCCUCUUACCGAUGCUGAAUCUUGUGAAAUUAAUGUUGCUUUGCUGAAUCUUGUCAUGAAAGAUCCCUUCUCCGGCCUUCCUAGUGAAUAUGCCGCUACCCAUCUUAAUAACUUCGUUGAUUUGUGUGACAUGCAAAAGAAGAAAGAUGUCGAUAAUGAUAUUGUUAAAUUGAAGCUAUUUCCUUUUUCGCUUAGAGAUCGUGGUAAAGCUUGGUUUUCAUCUUUGCCUAAAAAUAGUAUUGAUUCAUGGAACAAGUGCAAAGAUGCUUUUAUCUCUAAGUAUUUUCCUCCCGCUAAGAUCAUCUCUCUUAGAAACGAUAUUAUGAAUUUUAAGCAACUCGAUCAUGAACAUGUUGCACAAGCUUGGGAGAGAAUGAAAUUAAUGAUACGUAAUUGCCCUACUCAUGGUUUGAAUUUGUGGAUGAUUAUGCAAAAAAUUUAUGCCGGAUUGAAUUUUGCUUCUAGAAAUCUUUUAGGUUCGGCCGCGGGAGGCACUUUUAUGGAAAUCACUUUAGGAGAUGCUACUAAACUCCUAGAUAAUAUUAUGGUUAAUUAUUCUCAAUGGCACACUGAAAGAUCCACUAAUAAAAAAGUGCAUGCGAUAGAAGAAAUUAAUGUUUUGAGUGGAAAGAUGGAUGAACUUAUGAAAUUAUUUGCUACUAAGAGUGUUUCAUAUGAUCCUAAUGAUAUUCAUUUGUCUACUUUGAUUGAGAAUAAUAAUGAAUCUAUGGAUGUGAAUUUUGUUGGUAGGAAUAAUUUUGGUAACAACGCGUAUAGAGGAAAUUUCAACUCUAGGCCUUAUCCUAGUAAUCCCUCUAAUAAUUAUGGUAAUUCCUACAACAAUUCUUAUAAAAAUUAUAAUAAGAUGCCCUCUGAUUUUGAAUCUAAUAUUAAAGAAUUUAUUUCUUCACAAAAGAAUUUUAAUGCUAUGAUUGAAGAAAAAUUGCUUAAGAUUGAUGAUUUGGCUAGGAACGUUGAUAGAAUUUCUCUUGAUGUUGAUUCUUUAAAGCUUAGGUCUAUUCCUCCUAAGCAUGAUAUCAAUGAGUCUCUUAAAUCCAUGAGAAUUUUCAUUGACGAGUGCAAGGAAAGAACCGCUAGGAUGCGUGCUAUGAAAGAUGCCUUUAUUAAGGCGUGUUCUUCCAAUUCCUAUGAAAAUAAAGAUGAAGAUCUAAAAGUUAUUGAUGUUUCCCCUAUUAAAACUUUGUUUUGCAAUAUUAAUCUUGAUAAUGAUGGGACUGAAUAUGAUCCACCUUUACCUAGAAGGCGUUCUAAAAAUUCGGAGUAUUUAAAUCUUGAUGGUGAAAUUGAUAAAAGUGGGAUUAAAAGAAAUAAAACCCUAGAUGAUGCUAAACCCACUAUAUUGGAUUUCAAGGAAUUUAAUUAUGAAAAUUGCUCUUUAAUUGAUUGUAUUUCCUUGUUGCAAUCUGUGCUAAAUUAUCCUCAUGCUUAUAGUCAAAAUAAAGCCUUUACCGAACAUAUCGUUGAUGCCUUGAUGCAAUUUUAUGAAGAAAAAAUUGAGUUGAAACUUUCUAUCCCUAGAAAAAUUUAUGAUGAGUGGGAACCUACUAUUAAAAUUAAAAUUAAAGAUUAUGAGUUUUAUGCUUUGUGUGAUUUGGGUGCUAGUGUCUCUACUAUUCCCAAAACUUUGUGUGAUUUGCUAGAUUUUCGUGAUUUUGAUGAUUGCUCUCUAAACUUGCAUCUUGCGGAUUCCACUAUUAAGAAACCUAUGGGAAGAAUUAAUGAUGUUCUUAUUGUUGCAAAUAGGAAUUAUGUGCCCGUAGAUUUUAUCGUUCUUGAUAUAGAUUGCAAUCCUUCUUGCCCUAUUAUUCUCGGUAGACAUUUCCUUAGAACGGUUGGUGCAAUUAUUGAUAUGAAGGAAGGGAAUAUUAGAUUUCAAUUUCCAUUAAAAAAGGGCAUGGAACACUUCCCUAGAAAUAAAAUAAAAUUACCAUAUAAAUCUAUCAUGAGAGCCACUUAUGGAUUGCCUACCAAAGAUGGCAAUACCUAGAUCUAUUAUUGCUUGUUAUGCCUAGCUAGGGGCGUUAAACGAUAGCGCUUGUUGGGAGGCAACCCAAUUUUAUUUUUAUUACUUGCUUUUUGCUCCUGUUUAGUAAUAAAUAAAUUAUUUAGCCUCUGUUUUGGUUGUGUUUUUUUGUGUUUAAUUAGUGUUUGUGCCAAGUAGAACCGUUGGGAAGACUUGGGGAAAGUCUUGUUGAACUUGCUGUAAAAAACAGAAACUUUAGCGCUCACGAGAACUGCUGUCAUUUUUAUUUGGAGAGUGGUAUUUAGUUAAUUCUUUUUGAAGAUUAUUAAUAGAUAAAUUCCUCACGUCCAGAAAUUUAUUUUAGAAUUUUUGGGGUUCCAGAUCUUGCGCUAGAUACAGAUUACUACAGACUGUUCUGUUUUUGACAGAUUCUGUUUUUCGUGUGUUGUUUGCUUAUUUUGAUGAAUCUAUGGCUAGUAAAAUAGUUUAUAAACCAUAGAGAAUUUGGAAUACGAUAGUUUUAAAACCAAUAUAAAUAAAGAAUGAGUUCAUUACAGUACCUCGAAGUGGUCUUUUGUUUUCUUUCGCUAACGGAGCUCACGAGAUUUUCUACUUUAAGUUUUGUGUUGUGAAGUUUUCAAGUUUUGGGUAAAGAUUUGAUGGAUUAUGGAACAAGGAGUGGCAAGAGCCUAAGCUUGGGGAUGCCCAUGGCACCCCCAAGAUAAUCUAAGGACACCUAAAAGCCAAAGCUUGGGGAUGCCCUGGAAGGCAUCCCCUCUUUCGUCUACUUCUAUCGGUAACUUUACUUGGAGAUAUAUUUUUAUUCACCACAUGAUAUGUGUUUUGCUUGGAGCGUCUUUUAUGAUUUGAGUCUUUGCUUGUUAGUCCACCACAAUCAUCCUUUCUAUACACAUCUUUUGAGAGAGCCAUACAUAAUUUGGCAUUUGAUAGAAUACUCUAUGUGCUUCACUUAUAUCUUUUGAGCUCUAUAGGUUUACUCUAGUGCUUCACUUAUAUCUUUUGAGUUUUAUAGUUUUGCUCUAGUGCUUCACUUAUAUCUUUUAGAGCACGGUGGUGGAUUUGUUUUAUAGAAACUAUUUAUCUCUCAUGCUUCACUUAGAUUAUUUUGAGAGUCUUAAUAGCAUGGUAAUUUGCUUAAUAAUAAUUUGCUUGGUACUCAAGAUUUGUAAAGCUUUCUUUUGAGUGCGUUGAAUACUAAGAAAAAAAUCGAUGCUUGAUAAUUGUUUUGAGAUAUGAGGAUGGUGAUAUUAGAGUCAUGCUAGUUGAGUAGUUGUGAAUUUGAGAAAUGCUUGUGUUAAAGUUUGUGAUUCCUGUAGCAUGCACGUAUGGCGAACCGUUAUGUGAUGAAGUCGGAGCACGAUUUAUUUAUUGAUUGUCUUCCUUAUGAGUGGCGGUCGGGGACGAGCGAUGGUCUUUUCCUACCAAUCUAUCCCCCUAGGAGCAUGCGCGUAAUACUUUGCUUUGAUAACUUCUAGAUUUUUGCAAUAAGUAUAUGAGUUCUUUUUGACUAAUGUUGAGUCCAUGGAUUAUACGCACUUUCCUUCCUUCCACCAUUGCUAGCCUCUCUAAUACCGCGCACUUUUCGCCAGUAUCAUACACCCACCAAAUACCUUCCUCAGAACAGCCACCAUACCUACCUAUCAUGGCAUUUCCAUAGCCAUUCCAAGAUAUAUUGCCAUGCAACUUUCCACCGUUCCGUUCAUUAUGACACGCUCCAUCAUUGUCAUAUUGCUAGCAUGAUCAUGUAGUUGACAUCGUAUUUGUGGCAAAGCCACCGUUCAUAAUUCUUUCAUACAUGUCACUCUUGAUUCAUUGCAUAUCCCGGUACACCGCCAGAGGCAUUCAUAUAGAGUCAUAUUUUGUUCUAAGUAUUGAGUUGUAAUUGUUGAGUUGUAAGAAAAAUAAAAAGUGUGAUGAUCAUCAUUUUUAGAGCAUUGUCCCAAGUGAGGAAAGGAUGAUGAAGACUAUGAUUCCCCCACAAGUCGGGAUGAGACUCCGGACGAAAAAAAGGCCAUAAAAAAGAGAAGGCCCAAACAAAAAAUGAGAGAAAAAGAGAGAAGGGACAAUGUUACUUUUACCACACUUGUGCUUCAAAGUAGCACCAUGAUCUUCAUGAUAGAGAGUCUCUCAUUCCGUCACUUUCAUAUACUAGUGGGAAUUUUUCAUUAUAGAACUUGGCUUGUAUAUUCCAAUGAUGGGCUUCCUCAAAAUGCCCUAGGUCUUUGUGAGCAAGCGAGUUGGAUGCACACCCACUUAGUUUCUUUUGUUGAACUUUCAUAUACUUAUAGCUCUAGUGCAUCCGUUGCAUGGCAAUCCCUACUCACUCACAUUGAUAUCUAUUGAUGGGCAUCUCCAUAGCUCGUUGAUACGCCUAGUUGAUGUGAGACUACCUUCCCCUCUUUUUGUCUUCUCCACAACCACCAUUCUAUUCCACAUAUAGUGCUAUAUCCAUGGCUCACGCUCAUGUAUUGCGUGAAGAUCGAAAAAGUUUUGAAAAUGUCAAAAGUGUGAAACAAUUGCUUGGCUUGUCAUCGCGGUUGUGCAUGAUUUAAAUACUUUGUGUGGUGAAGAUAGAGCAUAGCCAGACUAUAUGAUUUUGUAGGGAUAGCUUUCUUUGGCCAUGUUAUUUUGAGAAGACAUAAUUGCUUUGUUAGUAUGCUUGAAGUAUUAUUAUUUUUAUGUCAACAUGAACUUUUGUCUUGAAUCUUUUGAAUCUAAAUAUUCAUACCACAAUUAAGAAGAUUUACAUUGAAAUUAUGCCAAGUAGCACUUCACAUCAAAAAAUUCUGUUUUUAUCAUUUACCUACUCGAGGACGAGCAGGAAUUAAGCUUGGGGAUGCUUGAUACGUUUCCAACGUAUCUAUAAUUUUUUAUUGCUCCAUGCUAUAUUACCUACUGUUUUGGACUAUAUUGGGCUUUAUUUUCCACUUUUAUAUUAUUUUUGGGACUAACCUAUUAACCGGAGGCCCAGCCCAGAAUUGAUGUUUUUUUGCCUAUUUCAGUGUUUCGGAGAAACAGAAUAUCAAACGGAGUCCAAACGGAAUGAAACCUUCGGGAACGCGAUUUUCUCAUCAGAUAAGACCCAGGAGACUUGGACCCUCCGUAAAGAAAGCCACGAGGCGGUCACGAGGGUGGAGGGCGCGCCCCUUGCCUCGUGGGCCCCUCGAAGCUCCACCGGCAUACUCCUUCCUCCUAUAUAUACCUACGUACCCCCAAAUGAUCAGAUACGGAGCCAAAAACCUAAUUCCACCGCCGCAACUUUCUGUAUCCACGAGAUCCCAUCUUGGGGCCUGUUCCAGAGCUCCGGCGGAGGGGGCAUCGAUCACAGAGGGCUUCUACAUCAUCAUCCAAGCCCCUCCGAUGAAGUGUGAGUAGUUUACUUCAGACCUACGGGUCCAUAGUUAGUAGCUAGAUGGCUUCUUCUCUCUUUUUGGAUCUCAAUACAGUGUUCUCCCCCUCUCUCAUGGAGAUCUAUUCGAUGUAAUCUUCUUUUUGCGGUGUGUUUGUUGAGACCGAUGAAUUGUGGGUUUAUGAUCCAGUCUAUCUAUGAAUAAUAUUUGAAUCUUCU
rnacentral:lncRNA from 1 species